rnacentral:misc_RNA from 1 species
GAUGAAGAUCGUAGUGAAAUGCGAUAAGUAAUGUGAAUUGCAGAAUUCAGUGAAUCAUCGAAUCUUUGAACGCACAUUGCGCCCGUCAGUAUUCUGGCGGGCAUGCCUGUUCGAGCGUCAUUACGCCCCUCAAGUCCCCUGUGGACUUGGUGUUGGGGAUCGGCGAGGCUGGUUUUCCAGCACAGCCGUCCCUUAAAUUAAUUGGCGGUCUCGCCGUGGCCCUCCUCUGCGCAGUAGUAAAACACUCGCAACAGGAGCCCGGCGCGGUCCACUGCCGUAAAACCCCCCAACUUUUUAUAGUUGACCUCGAAUCAGGUAGGACUACCCGCUGAACUUAAGCAUAUCAAUAAGCGGAGGA